UUGCAUGUGGAAAUAUGUCUGCUUCUUAUUCCUUUGGGAGCAGGAAUACAUCCAUAACAUGCUACAUUAAAAAAGGGAGUUCUCAGGGCUACCAACCUUACAGUAGAGGUUGAGUAGUAGUAUAUUUCUCCUACAUAA